rnacentral:rRNA from 1 species
AGUCGAGCGGAACGAGUUAUCUGAACCUUCGGGGGACGAUAACGGCGUCGAGCGGCGGACGGGUGAGUAAUGCCUAGGAAAUUGCCCUGAUGUGGGGGAUAACCAUUGGAAACGAUGGCUAAUACCGCAUGAUGCCUACGGGCCAAAGAGGGGGACCUUCGGGCCUCUCGCGUCAGGAUAUGCCUAGGUGGGAUUAGCUAGUUGGUGAGGUAAGGGCUCACCAAGGCGACGAUCCCUAGCUGGUCUGAGAGGAUGAUCAGCCACACUGGAACUGAGACACGGUCCAGACUCCUACGGGAGGCAGCAGUGGGGAAUAUUGCACAAUGGGCGCAAGCCUGAUGCAGCCAUGCCGCGUGUGUGAAGAAGGCCUUCGGGUUGUAAAGCACUUUCAGUCGUGAGGAAGGUAGUGUAGUUAAUAGCUGCAUUAUUUGACGUUAGCGACAGAAGAAGCACCGGCUAACUCCGUGCCAGCAGCCGCGGUAAUACGGAGGGUGCGAGCGUUAAUCGGAAUUACUGGGCGUAAAGCGCAUGCAGGUGGUUUGUUAAGUCAGAUGUGAAAGCCCGGGGCUCAACCUCGGAAUUGCAUUUGAAACUGGCAGACUAGAGUACUGUAGAGGGGGGUAGAAUUUCAGGUGUAGCGGUGAAAUGCGUAGAGAUCUGAAGGAAUACCGGUGGCGAAGGCGGCCCCCUGGACAGAUACUGACACUCAGAUGCGAAAGCGUGGGGAGCAAACAGGAUUAGAUACCCUGGUAGUCCACGCCGUAAACGAUGUCUACUUGGAGGUUGUGGCCUUGAGCCGUGGCUUUCGGAGCUAACGCGUUAAGUAGACCGCCUGGGGAGUACGGUCGCAAGAUUAAAACUCAAAUGAAUUGACGGGGGCCCGCACAAGCGGUGGAGCAUGUGGUUUAAUUCGAUGC